rnacentral:lncRNA from 1 species
AAUCAAUGAAUUUAUAAGCAGAUUUUUUUUGUCCUCGAGAAGAAGAGUAUUUUCUUCUAAAAUGUCACUAUCGGUUGAGAGUUUGAUAUUGGAAGAUUAUUGGAUGGACCACGAAAAUAUUGAAAUUGAAUAUUGAAUCACUGAGAAAACGUGGAGAUAAAUCAAAGAAAAUAAUAUAAAAUAAUAUAAAUCAAAUAAAAUAAAACUUAUAUAAAUUCAGGUAUAAUAUUUAAUAUCAUCAUCAGAAUCAAAAAGAAAUAAAAUUUCCAUUUCCUGAUUUCUUUUUUAUUUCAAUCAUCAAGUAAACUUGUUUUUAGAAUUUACUUACAGAAUAACAGUUAGGAAAUGCAAAACCUCAUGCAAAAGAAAACCGUACGAGACAAUUGUCUAGAUAGACGCAUCAGGCUAAUGUUUUUUCCGUGUGCAACCGCUUCUCGCUGUCGACGUGAGAAGCGAAGUGCCUUCGACUUCAGGUUCACUGCCACGAGCAUUAUUACGCAAGAAGACUAUGUUCGUUCCUCCUGUUAUGUCUUAACCGCGCUUAAUUAAUCGCCUAAUUGCCGACCUGCCAAUUAAACGACCUCUGGUGUCAGCACGAGUUACGCUCGUUGGAUCAAUUUUCUCUGACUUAUGCAUAUUUUACGGAAAAACAUCACUUUCGAUCAAUUGGAAGUGAAAUUUCUGUGAACUAAUGGCCAGCAAUGAGCAGCGACAAUUUUAAACUCGUUAAACGUGAAAUGAGAAAAAUCCAAAUGUCUGGUUUUUAAUGCAAAUUAUAGGAGUAACAUUUAACGAUGUAAAACAAGAAAAAAAUAUGGAAUGACGGUAAUUAAACGACAUAUAAACUCGACGUAUUAAAAUCCUUUUACGGUGCAACACAUUGACAAAAAUCAUGCACACGCAUAGACGUCAGGCAGCGUUAGUUUAAUCUGAAAGAUACCGGAAACUGAAAGUACCGGGUAAAUCCCACGUUCGAUUCAAUGGAGACUUUAGCACGACCUUAAGCCAUAUACGUAAGUACAACGACCUCUUGUUGCUAAUUAUUCUCAUUAACGGAAAAACUGGAUUCCGUGGUUGCUGGAAUGCGAAGGAGAAUACCUUUUAUGUACAUUAGAUGAUAUACACAAUUGUAAUAGUUUUUUUUUUAAACAAUCUACUAUGGUACAUUACUUAGUGAGAUUUUUAGUUAUUUUUGUCUGAGAUAUUAUUUAUUAUAAAUUUUUAAAUUUUCUAUUUUUGUCAAGAUACAAUAUUCAUUUUUCUUUGAAUUUAUGGCAAUAUACUAAAAUUAUAUUUUAUGUAAAUUUUUUUAUCUCAAUAUCUACUUUUGGAGAAGUUUGAGAUAUAGAUAUGAAGAAUGUUAAGUUAUAAUAUUAAAGAAAAUAUAUUUUUAAUGCUAAUAUAAGUUAAUUAUUAACUUUAUUAAGAUCAAAAUCUGUCUUACUAUAAUGCUAACUUGUAAAUAUUAAAAACUUAUAAAUAUACAGAACAUUGCUAUUUAUUUCUGAUAAUAAAAUUUUGAUUAAAAAGAAUUUUAUUAAAAAUUGAAUAAUUCAAAGAUUUAAAGAUUCAAUGAUACACAAAAUUUCGCACUUUCGUAUUUCUCGUCGCUGAAUGAAUCUGAUAUCAUAGCAUGGCAAUUAAUUGGAGUCGUUGAAGGAGCUGAGGUUAUUGCGAGAAGCUGGAACUCCCCCAGGAAAGUAUAGCUUCUAGUUAGGUUUAAUCUGAAAUUCUGGAAAGCACAGUAUAUUCGCACCGCGUAACGAACCCGCAUUAAUUAAGUUCCGCUUCCGUCCGCGAACGGAAGUAACGAAGAAAGUUCGGCGGCCAGUUAGUCCUCCCUCUACGAAUUUCACUACCAAAUUUUCGCCUUAUACAUCAUCAGGUUCUGGUACAAUCUU